UGGGGAAUUUUGCACAAUGGGGGAAACCCUGAUGCAGCGACGCCGCGUGAUUUGGAAGGCCUUCGGGUUGUAAAAAUCUUUUCUAUGGGAAGAAAAUGACAGUACCAUAGGAAUAAGGACCGGCUAAUUACGUGCCAGCAGCCGCGGUAAUACGUAAGGUCCGAGCGUUGUCCGGAAUCAUUGGGCGUAAAGGGUACGUAGGCGGGUAAGCAAGUUAGAAGUGAAAUCCUAUAGCUCAACUAUAGUAAGCUUUUAAAACUGCUCAUCUUGAGGUAUGGAAGGGAAAGUGGAAUUCCUAGUGUAGCGGUGAAAUGCGCAGAUAUUAGGAGGAAUACCGGUGGCGAAGGCGACUUUCUGGCCAUAACCUGACGCUGAGGUACGAAAGCGUGGGUAGCAAACAGG
rnacentral:rRNA from 1 species